rnacentral:rRNA from 1 species
CCUACGGGUGGCAGCAGUGGGGAAUAUUGCUCAAUGGGGGAAACCCUGAAGCAGCGACGCCGCGUGGGGGAUGAAGGUUUUAGGAUUGUAAACCCCUUUUGGCAGGGAAGAUAAUGACGGUACCUGACGAAUAAGCACCGGCUAACUCCGUGCCAGCAGCCGCGGUAAUACGGAGGGGGCAAGCGUUAAUCGGAAUUACUGGGCGUAAAGGGUGCGUAGGCGGGGUAAUAAGUCAGAUGUGAAAUCCUGUAGCUUAACUACAGAACUGCAUUUGAAACUGUUAGUCUGGAGUGUAGGAGAGGUAGGUGGAAUUCUUGGUGUAGGGGUGAAAUGCGUAGAGAUCAAGAGGAAUACUGAUUGCGAAGGCGGCCUGCUGGACUGUGACUGACGCUGAUGCACGAAAGCGUGGGGAGCAAACAGGAUUAGAUACCCGAGUAGUC